rfam:Salmo salar isolate Sally breed double haploid chromosome ssa10, whole genome shotgun sequence.
CCAAAGGCUCUUUUAAGGGCCACCUAAUAAAUGCAAAUAAGUGUGU